GAGGAAUAUUGGACAAUGGGCGCAAGCCUGAUCCAGCCACGCCGCGUGCAGGAAGACGGCCCUAUGGGUUGUAAACUGCUUUUAUUUGGGAAGAAACCCCGGGACGUGUCCCGGGCUGACGGUACCAAACGAA
rnacentral:rRNA from 1 species